GUUCUGGGAGGAGCUCCCUCUCUUUUACAGCUCAGGUUUUAUGUUUGUCGAUUUAAAUUGUGGACAAAAUGACACACUGAUUCAAAGAUAUAGAAUUAUCCCGGUUUUUCUGGUUUUCAUCUUUGUUCUGCUGAACACAAAAGGUUGAAUUUGGAGUUUUUCCUCUGGCCUCCUCCCCGUGAGAGCCGCAGACUGUGGAGCCUCUGCUGCAAAUGGGAUAUUGUUCUGGGCUCCAACAAAGCUGUUUUCACCCUCUUCAAUAUUACAGGAGGAGUCACCCGAUACCCAACAAUCAGCUAAUCCACUGCCCAUGGCGACGAGGUCACCUGUGCACAGAGGCUGAGAUGAGAAAAGGAGGCCUAAUGAAGUCCAGGUUGUGGAGCAUGUGCAAACUAUCACCACAGGUCUGCAGAAAGCUGCAGAAGGCUUGCUGGAUUACUGCACGCUUCCCCCCUCGCCGUCCUUUCAAUCUGGCAACGCUGGACUUUUAAAUAUCGGGAGGACAUGUGCUUUCUGUUGUAAACUCACAUUCUUUACUGUGUCGCUAAAAUCUCCAUGAUCCCAUAUUGCUAUUAGUCAUCAUAAAAUCACAUCAGGAAUAAAACUUCCUUCUUCGUUGUCUUUUUUUUUUUACGUUUUUAUAAAUAUAAACUUUUAUUGCAGUACGUAGAUUUAGAAAAAUACAUUCACAUAAUUUCAGAUAACAAACAUAUAAUUCAAGCUAAGAUAAAAAAACAAACAAA